rnacentral:rRNA from 1 species
CUCCUACGGGACGCAGCAGUGGGGAAUAUUGCACAAUGGGGGAAACCCUGAUGCAGCGACGCCGCGUGAGCGAUGAAGUAUUUCGGUAUGUAAAGCUCAAUCAGCAGGGAAGAAAAUGACGGUACCUGACUAAGAAGCCCCGGCUAACUACGUGCCAGCAGCCGCGGUAAUACGUAGGGGGCAAGCGUUAUCCGGAUUUACUGGGUGUAAAGGGAGCGUAGACGGCGAUGCAAGCCAGAUGUGAAAGCCCGGGGCUCAACCCCGGGACUGCAUUUGGAACUGUACAGCUAGAGUGUCGGAGAGGC